UACGGAGGGGGCUAGCGUUGUUCGGAAUUACUGGGCGUAAAGCGCACGUAGGCGGCUUUGCAAGUUAGAGGUGAAAGCCCGGGGCUCAACUCCGGAAUUGCCUUUAAAACUGCAUCGCUAGAAUUGUGGAGAGGUAAGUGGAAUUCCGAGUGUAGAGGUGAAAUUCGUAGAUAUUCGGAAGAACACCAGUGGCGAAGGCGGCUCACUGGACCGGUAUUGACGCUGAGGUGCGAAAGCGUGGGGAACAAACAGG
rnacentral:rRNA from 1 species